CUCGUAGGUGGCCAACUAAGUCAGACGUGAAAUCCCUCAGCUUAACUGGGGAACUGCGUCUGAUACUGGAUGGCUUGAGUUUGGGAGAGGGAUGCGGGAUUCCAGGUGUAGCGGUGAAAUGCGUAGAUAUCUGGAGGAACACCGGUGGCGAAGGCGGCAUCCUGGACCAAUACUGACACUGAGGAGCGAAAAGCCAGGGGAGCAAACG
rnacentral:rRNA from 1 species